rnacentral:tRNA from 1 species
UGGGCAGUAGCUCAGUGGUAGAGCCUCCACUUCGUACGCGGGAAGACCUGGGUUCGAUUCCCGGCUGUUUUU